rnacentral:rRNA from 1 species
GUGAGGAAUUUUCCGCAAUGGGCGAAAGCCUGACGGAGCAAUGCCGCGUGAAGGAUGAAGGCCUAUGGGUUGUAAACUUCUUUUCUCAGAAAAGAAUUAUGACGGUAUCUGAGGAAUAAGCAUCGGCUAACUCUGUGCCAGCAGCCGCGGUAAGACAGAGGAUGCAAGCGUUAUCCGGAAUGAUUGGGCGUAAAGCGUCUGUAGGUUGUUUAAAAAGUAUUCUGUCAAAGAUUAGGGCUUAACCCUAGAUAGGCAGAAUAAACUUUUAAGCUAGAGUUUAGUAGAGGCAGAGGGAAUUCCCGGUGGAGCGGUGAAAUGCGUAGAUAUCGGGAGGAACACCAAAGGCGAAGGCACUCUGCUGGGCCAAUACUAACACUGAGAGACGAAAGCGAGGGGAGCAAAUGGGAUUAGAUACCCGAGUAGUCC